GAUGAACGCUGGCGGCGUGCCUAAUACAUGCAAGUCGAGCGAAGCGGGGACGGGUGAGUAACACGUGGAUAACCUCCUAUAGGACGGGGAUAACUUCGGGAAACGGAAGCUAAACCGGUAACUUCUCGGUGGAUCCUAGCUGCAUUAGCUAGUUUGGAAGGUAACGGCUUACCAAGGCAACGAUGCCUAGCAGACCUGGGAGGGGUGUCGGCCACACUGGAACUGAGACACGGUCCAGACGCUUACGGGAGGCAGCAGUAGGGAAACUUCCGCAAUGGGCGAAAGCCUGACGGACCAACGGCGCGGGAGUGAGGAAGGUCUUCGGAGCUUAAAACUCUGUUAUUAGGAAAGCGGUACCUGAUCAGAAAGCCACGGCUAACUACGUGCCAGCAGCCGCGGUAAUAC
rnacentral:rRNA from 1 species